rnacentral:sRNA from 1 species
AUACUUGUCGCAGGCGCCCAGCGCGUUACGGCGCAGCGGGAAGCCGGACAAGUCUUCAUCUCAAGCUUUGACCACGGAUGUAAUGGCAGGGCGGUGAGAUGACUGGAAAGGCCGGGAAUACCCGGCCUUUUUUCGU